UAGGGAAUCUUCGGCAAUGGACGAAAGUCUGACCGAGCAACGCCGCGUGAGUGAAGAAGGUUUUCGGAUCGUAAAACUCUGUUGUUAGAGAAGAACAAGGACGUUAGUAACUGAACGUCCCCUGACGGUAUCAAACCAGAAAGCCACGGCUAACUACGUGCCAGCAGCCGCGGUAAUACGUAGGUGGCAAGCGUUGUCCGGCUUUAUUGGGCGUAAAGCGAGCGCAGGCGGUUUCUUAAGUCUGAUGUGAAAGCCCCCGGCUCAACCGGGGAGGGUCAUUGGAAACUGGGAGACUUGAGUGCAGAAGAGGAGAGUGGAAUUCCAUGUGUAGCGGUGAAAUGCGUAGAUAUAUGGAGGAACACCAGUGGCGAAGGCGGCUCUCUGGUCUGUAACUGACGCUGAGGCUCGAAAGCGUGGGGAGCAAACAGG
rnacentral:rRNA from 1 species